CCCUUAGAUGUUCUGGGCCGCACGCGUGCUACACUGAGUGGAUCAGCGGGUCAGGUUGCGCGAAAGCGUUUCCUAAUCUUUAAAUCCGCUCGUGAUGGGGAUUGACGGUUGCAAUUUUCUGUCAUGAACGAGGAAUACCUUGUAAGCGCGGGUCAUCAUCCCGCGCUGAAUACGUCCCUGCCCUUUGUACACACCGCCCGUCGCUCCUACCGAUUGAGUGGUCCGGUGAGGCUUUGGGCUCUGAGCGGAAAGAGCGUUUCGCUGUUUCUGCUCGGAAAACUCAGUCGAACCUUAUCAUUUAGAGGAAGGAGAAGUCGUAACA
rnacentral:rRNA from 1 species